rnacentral:misc_RNA from 1 species
GAUGAAGAACGUAGCGAAAUGCGAUAAGUAAUGUGAAUUGCAGAUUUCAGUGAAUCAUCGAAUCUUUGAACGCACCUUGCGCCUUGUGGUAUUCCACAAGGCAUGCCCGUUUGAGUAUCAUUAAAUCAUCAACUCUAAAACCUUUGUGGUUUUUUUUUAGAGCUUGGUCUUGAGGGUUUUGCAGGCUUUUUUUUUUUUUUCGAGUCUGCUCCCUUUAAAUGCAUUAGCGAGACUUCCCUAUGCUGAACCGUCUCUUUGACGUGAUAAUUAUCUGCGUCGAAUUUUGGUUCUCGUUGGGCUUGCUUCUAAUCGUCUGUUAAAGACAAAACGGAUUUGGGUGCAUAUAUGCGCCUUUUUCCAAAACCUUUUUUUGAUCUCAAAUCGGGUAGGACUACCCGCUGAACUUAAGCAUAUCAAUAAGCGGAGGA